rnacentral:tRNA from 1 species
GGGGAUUUAGCUCAGUGGUAGGGCACAUGCCUAGCAAGCACAAGGCCCUGGGUUCAGUCCCCA